rnacentral:tRNA from 1 species
GAUGAUAUAACUCAGUGGCAGAGCGCAUGCUAGCAUGUAUGAGGUCCUGGGUUCAAUUCCCAGUACCUCCA